AGAUUGAACGCUGGCGGCAUGCUUUACACAUGCAAGUCGAGCGGCAGCGCGGGGGCAACCCUGGCGGCGAGCGGCGAACGGGUGAGGAACACAUCGGAACGUGCCCCGGAGUGGGGGAUAACCGCCGCGAAAGCGGCGCUAAUACCGCAUAUGCU
rnacentral:rRNA from 1 species